GCAUCAUAGCGGUGAGCUGUCACCGCCGGCCGCUGGCUCCGGGGUGUGGGCCCGCAGCGGGACGCGUGGCCAGCACUGGCUGCACAAAGCGCCUCGCACCGCCGUGCCGCCAGUGCCGCUACUGCCCUGCCCAUGCCCGCCACUCUCCGCCACCGCCGCGCGCUGUUCCGCACAGGGUGCAGAUAGCUCCUGAGCUCCGCCCGCGGGCUGCGUGUCGUGUCUCGCCGCCUGUGUGUCCCCCGCGGGCUGUGUGUGUGCCCCCCGCGGGCUGUGUGCGUGUCCCGUCCCCGCGGGCUGAGUGCUUGUCCCCUUGGUCCCGCGGCGGGGAGAGGCGCUGAUGGGAGGCGGGAGCGGCGGGGAUCGGUGCUCGCGUCACUUGGGCGGCCGAGAUCGGCGCGGAUGGGGCUGGGCGGUGAGUCGGGAGCUGUGGGGUCAGGCACUGGGUUGGGAAAUGCCAUGGAGAGGCUGUGGGACAGAGCCGCGGCUUUAACAGGGCUGGGAAAAGCGGAGACUGACUGGGGAGCUACAGCGAUAGCGGAAUGGCGCUGAGGCGGUGUUCGUGCGUCUGGGAACACGGCCCGUGGAGCUGCGGGCACCGGAGGCAUCCGAAGGGAAGUUACACUCUGGCAGUGCUGUCUCCAAAGGCUCCUGAAUGGCUCCGGUUAAAAUCGGCUGAGGGGUGUGCUUCUCCUCCCAGGUGCCUGGGGGCUCCCUCUGGGGGGCUGGGUGUGGGGCUGAUCCCUUUGAGCUGCUGGGGUCUUGGAAGAGGUGGGUCAGGCCAUGACAGGGUGCAGUGCUACCUCACCUUGUUAAGCAGAAGGGCAAGGAUUCACAUCAUUCUUGCUCUCUCAAAAUGGGAUGUUGUUCCUGUAGGUUACCAGAGAAUUCCAUGCUUCUCCCCAUGUCCAGAACAAGCCAGAGCUGGAGGGGAGGGUGUUUAGGGAGGGGUUGGUACCUGAUGCUGUGUCCCUGGUGUGUGUGCAGGACCCCAGGCACCCCAAGGCAGAGAACCUGCUGAGUGAGGACAGCACACAGCCCUGGCUUGGCUGCCCCAAGGGUCACAGCAGGCAGCUGAGAGUGGGGCUGUGACUGGAGAGAGCCAGUCCCAUUGGCUGUGUUGACGUUGACACUUCCCCGUUCCCCACUCCCGUGCAGGAGCCAGGGCCACGUCCCACAGUGGGGUCAGCAGCUCUGAGCCCCCUUGCCCCUGUCCUUCUCGCUGCUCCCCAGGGAACUACAGCUGUGCCUUUCUGCAGGCUGAGGUGGGAUGCUCCUCGUGGCCCUGUGACCAGCCCUGUCACACCUUGGUGCCCACUGAUGGCACCAGCUGACUCAAAGCUGGACCAGAAUCGCUGCAGGGUUCAGAUGUUUUAGGAAGGAGAUCCAGGGAGUAGAACCAACAGAGGAGCUGCCUGUGGAAGCUGGAUGGGCUGCCUGGAGCCCAGCCCACCUCAGCCACUCUGCCUGGAUGGAGCUGUUGACAACACAGAACCAGAACCAGGCCCUGAGGCCCAGAGCUGGCACGAGCCCCCUGGGGUGUCACCUGGAGCUGCUGGCCAAGGAUGUGGGAGGUCCUGCAGUGCCAGGUGAGUGAAUCUGCACAGCUGUGUCCUGGGCUGGCCCCCAGCUCUGGGACCCCCAACAUAAGAAGAGUGUGGAGCAACUGGAAUGAGUCCAGAGGUGUCAGAACUCAGUACAUCCUUCCGGGUGCCGAGGACCCCACUGGGGGGGCUCGGAGACCCUGGCAUGCUGCCCAGAACACCUGGAGAUUUGAUUUUGACCGUUGGAGCAAGUUGCCAGCUUUGUAUGAGGACAUGAAGGUCACACAGGUUUGAACAGUGUAAUAACAAAAUGAUCACAGGGUGAAAAUGUAGAUUUUAGGAUUUUUGGUAUGGAGGUUAUGGGGACAAGAUGGAGGAAUCUGGGUGUGUCUAGCCUUCCUCCUUCUCCUUCUUGUUCUCCAUUUUCUGCAGUGGUGUUGGCACUUUGGGAUUGGUUUAGAGUAGAAGUGCACUGUCCAACAUAGGUGAUAGGUAUUGGGAAUUAAGUGUAAAUAGGAAAUACGUAGUUUGUAGUAUAAAAGGACAGCACCACCUCGGGGGCGGUCAGAGUGCUCAUGGCUGCCCUGCAGAGCGGAUCUCCGCUGGGCAGAAAGAAAAUUUUAUAGAUAAGAAUUAAUAAACAACCUCAAGAUCGAAAAGUGAGGAGUCCAGACUCGUUCUUCAGUUGUGCAGAGACAUCCUACGCAUCUCAGGGCACAAUUACUGACAGCAACCCAAGAUUUGGCAUCCCUGGCUGGGCACGUUCCAAGGGGGCACUGAUAAACCUCUUGGGAAGCAGCCAGCACAGCCCGGGAAGCAGCAGCCACUCUCAAGGCCAUCCAGAGAGCUGCUGCCGAAGGGACUCGCAGCAGACCAGUCCGGAGCGGAGCCAGAAGGAGCCCUGGAUCCGCUCUCCUGUGAACUGCUGGCGUUUCCAGCUGGACCUUCAGACUGACCUGACGACUCGG